GACGAACCGAGCGAACGUUGUUCGGAAUCACUGGGCUUAAAGGGCGCGUAGGCGGGCUGUCAAGUCUGGGGUGAAAUCCCGCGGCUCAACUGUGGAACUGCCUUAGAUACUGACGGCCUCGAGGGAGAUAGGGGCGAGCGGAACUGUGAGUGGAGCGGUGAAAUGCGUUGAUAUUCACAGGAACUCCGGUGGCGAAGGCGGCUCGCUGGAUCUUUUCUGACGCUGAGACGCGAAAGCGUGGGGAGCAAACAGG
rnacentral:rRNA from 1 species